rnacentral:lncRNA from 1 species
GUGAGGAGGCUUGUAAGGACCUUCAACUGGUACACUAAUGUAGUCAGCUUGAUCCUUGGAAAGCUUAGUGAGCCUUGCUCCGAGCUUUCCGAGAUGAAGGGCAGCAACCUUCUCAUCAAGGUGCUUUGGCAAGACGUACACCUUCUUCUCAUACUUGCCGGUGCUCUUCUCCUUCCACAACUCGAGCUGAGCAAUGACUUGGUUAGUGAAAGAGCAGGACAUCACGAAGCUGGGGUGUCCAGUGGCGCAUCCCAAGUUCAUGAGACGACCCUCGGCUAAGACAAUGAUACCGCUGUUGGUGUCGGGAAAGACCCAUCUGUCAGUCUGGGGCUUGAUUGUGAUCCUCUUCACUCCAGGGAAGGUCUCAAGACCGAGCAUGUCGAUUUCAUUGUCGAAAUGACCAAUGUUGCAGACAAUGGCGUUGUUCUUCAUUUUCCUCAUGUGGUCAACCAUGAUGAUGUCCUUGUUACCGGUUGUGGUAACGAAGAUAUCAACAUCUGAAACGACAUCCUCAAGGGUAAGGACCUGAAGACCUUCCAUGGUAGCUUGGAGAGCACAGAUUGGAUCAAUCUCAGUCACGAUGACACGUGCACCAGCUUGCUUCAAGGCAGCAGCACAACCCUUACCGACAUCUCCGUAACCGGCAACAAGCGCUACCUUUCCGGCAAUCAUAACAUCAGUAGCCCUCAUGAGACCAUCAGGCAGUGAGUGGCGGC